UACGGGGGGGGUAAGCGUUGUUCGGAAUUACUGGGCGUAAAGGGCUCGUAGGCGGCCAACUAAGUCAGACGUGAAAUCCCUCAGCUUAACUGGGGAACUGCGUCUGAUACUGGAUGGCUUGGAUUCGGGAGAGGAAUGCGGAAUUCCUGGUGUAGCGGUGAAAUGCGCAGAUAUCAGGAGGAACACCGAUGGCGAAGGCAGGUCUCUGGGCAUUAACUGACGCUGAGGAGCGAAAGCAUGGGGAGCGAACAGG
rnacentral:rRNA from 1 species